UCUUGAACAGUCAGGUCUCCAGGAGCCUGCAGAAAAUGAGGCCGGAAGAAUCGUUCCUGAAUUGGUUCAUUUUCAUCACCACUGUCCCUUGAUCGAGAUCGUGGUCUUAAAGUAACAUGAAAUAAAGGUGGGCAAUAUUGAGAUUCUAUGACCACUGUGACCAUUACGCAGAACAUGUGCCUCAUCACUGCAGAAUCCGGAACCGGAGCCCUCACGCUCCUCUGAAAGCAGUUCUGUUUGGAAGACAGACUGUCCACCACAAGCACUCCUGGUAACAAAUCUGGGAUGGGAUGGCCUAAAGCCAGAAUUGCUGACAUCCAGGGGCCUGCAGAAUUCAUUAUGUGAGGGGUAAAAGCAUCUGGUGGUAUUAACAAAUAUACACAAUAGAUAGAUACAAAUAUAAAAGCUAGGUAUAAAAAUAAUACUGUAGUAAAACUUCAUACACUUUUAUUUAACAAUGUAAUAAUUUUAAUAACUUUUGAAAAAUGAUAGUUUUAAAUAGCUCUUUGGUAAAUGUAUAGAUGACAUACAUCAUCGGUCUCUCUUCCCCCUGACCUGGUAGCAGUAAGGCACCAUCCACCUCAGUUUUGCAGUGUCUGUUAGUUCUAAGCUGUGAGCUCCACCCUCAAGUCUGUCAGCAUAAAAGUGACAGAUAUUUUCGUCACAGUGAUUCAGGGGCUGCAAAUAGCUGUUCAUUAACAACUGGCCAAAGCCCACUGAAAAACAAUUGCCCUGGGGUCACAAGCAGCCUUCAAAUGGCAAUGACCUUUGCACUACUGCUGGCUGGACUGUUAGAAAUGAAGCCUCUGUGUCCUGCCUUUACUCCCAUGACCCGUUUAGUCCACAAGGAAAACACCUGCACUAAAACAAACCAUUGUGAAUGAACUGCAGCAACUUCUUAAGCACAAUCUUUUAUUUUAUUUUUUUUUCCACUUAUAAGACCAUUAAAGACAUCUGUUGCAAAUACAUUUCUAUUUUAGGCACCACUGUAAGUUAAUGUGUUUCUGGCAGGUGAUGGAUUCACACAUUUUGGGAUAAUUUCUGCAUAUCUCAAUCAUGAAGGCAUCACAAAUGGAAACACAAAGGACAGUAAGGAAUUUGGAUGAGUAACU